rnacentral:tRNA from 1 species
GCGCGUAUAGCUCAACCGGCAGAGCAGACGGCUCAUAAUCGUUCGGUUGCAGGUUCAAAUCCUGCUACGCGCACCA